UAAUGUAGUUUAUUUGUUUAAGUAAAGUGGCUGUUGUCUCGCAUAAGUAUUUGUAACGGCACUUUAUUAUUCUAAAGAAAAGCGAUCCUUCAAAGUAAACGCUCUAUCAUUUGGAAUCAAGCUCUUGACAACUGUUGUUUCGCCAUUUGAAAAA